GACGAACGCUGGUGGCGUGCUUAACACAUGCAAGUCGAACGGGAUUUAGUAAACAGCCGCCUCGGUGGAAGAUUACUAAUGAGAGUGGCGAACGGGUGAGUAACGCUUGAGCAACCUGCCUAUGACAGUGGGAUAGCCUCGGGAAACCGGGAUUAAUACCGCAUAAAAUCGUAGAAACACAUGUUUUAACGGUCACAGAUUUAUCGGUCAUAGAUGGGCUCGCGUCUGAUUAGCUAGUUGGUGAGAUAACAGCCCACCAAGGCGACGAUCAGUAGCCGGUCUGAGAGGAUGAACGGCCACAUUGGAACUGAGACACGGUCCAAACUCCUACGGGAGGCAGCAGUGGGGAAUAUUGCACAAUGGGGGAAACCCUGAUGCAGCGACGCCGCGUGAACGAAGAAGGUAUUCGUAUCGUAAAGUUCUGUCCUAUGGGAAGAUAAUGACAGUACCAUAGAAGAAAGCUCCGGCUAAAUACGUG
rnacentral:rRNA from 1 species